AUUGAACGCUGGCGGCAGGCCUAACACAUGCAAGUCGAGCGGAUGAAGGGAGCUUGCUCCUGGAUUCAGCGGCGGACGGGUGCGUAAUGCCUAGGAAUCUGCCUGGUAGUGGGGGAUAACGUCCGGAAACGGGCGCUAAUACCGCAUACGUCCUGAGGGAGAAAGUGUGGGAUCUUCGGACCUCACGCUAUCAGAUGAGCCUAGGUCGGAUUAGCUAGUUGGUGGGGUAAAGGCCUACCAAGGCGACGAUCCGUAACUGGUCUGAGAGGAUGAUCAGUCACACUGGAACUGAGACACGGUCCAGACUCCUACGGGAGGCAGCAGUGGGGAAUAUUGGACAAUGGGCGAAAGCCUGAUCCAGCCAUGCCGCGUGUGUGAAGAAGGUCUUCGGAUUGUAAAGCACUUUAAGUUGGGAGGAAGGGCAGUAAGUUAAUACCUUGCUGUUUUGACGUUACCAACAGAAUAAGCACCGGCUAACUUCGUG
rnacentral:rRNA from 1 species